rnacentral:lncRNA from 1 species
AUGGAUGCAUGGUUUGUUGCCGAACGCCCGUGCAUGCGUGGCCCCUGGCUUCCUCCCUCCCUUCUAUAAAGGCCAGCCCCUCCGUCGCUCACCGGCACUCCACACUUCCACAGACUGAUCAACAAUGAUCUAGCAGCAGCAGCAGCAGCUUGCCAUCGAGCUGGGACGCGACACGUACGCGUAGCUAGCCGCUCACGUCUAUCUUGCUACCUAGCUUGCCAACUGACGGUGCAGUGCUAUGACGUCGCGCCACCGGCGGCAGCCGUCGCGCGCGCUGCCUGUGGACUUUGACGCCGUCGACGUCGGCGAUGAGCCCGUGGGAGGCGCCACAUCCAAGGGCGCGGCGCCGACGCGCGGCCCCGGUGCCGGCGGCCGUAGCGAUGGCGCCAAAGCUGCGGGGCAGGAAGGCCCUGCCAAGAAGCUGCCUCCGGCCGCUGGCGGCGGCCGCUCGCCGACGGCGGAGGGGGCCGGGAAGGGGCCGUGCGACGGCGGCAACAGUAGCGCCUAGGCAGGUGGCCGCACGUUGCCGGCACAUGGCACUCGGACGUUGUUCGAUCUGCCCGAAAUGAAAAGUACGGCGUAGCUUGGCCGUGCUCUGUCUUUUGCCCGACGAUCUCUACAAUGUUUGGGAGUCCAGUCCAGUCCAGUAUGUGAUCCCUAGCUACUACUCAGUGUUUAUCUAUGUUCGUUCGUGUGGAGAGCUCCCAUCCACUGUACGUACCUCUGCUGGCUAAUCUGUAUCAAGUGUACAAACGUGCUAGUAUUUUUGCAUAAUGCAAAUACCGUAAGCAAUAAGUCCUCCGUGCCGUGUUGUGCCUCUGAUCAGUGAUCACCGACUAAAUAAAACCCGGAGUUCUUCCAUAAGCUGUGAUUUCAACUUUGCACAGAUUAUUUUCUGCUCAUGGCAUUGUAUCAGAACGGAUAUGAGAAAAUGCAUGCAAGAUGAACGUGGGUGGACAGGGACGGACACACAUUAUCGUUUUCGCCGAGACAGCGCGCGUGCGUCCCUGCAAUGUGGGCUGCCCAAUUGUAAGCCACCAUCAG